AACGAAAAGUCUAAUGGCACAGCAAUUCAGCAUGCAUCUAUUUGAAAACGUUUCACCUUACGCCUACAGCAAGAUCAACUGAAGGUUGCCUGACGUGGUGGGGGUGUGGCUGUGAAGACAUGGAUAAUUGGGUUGAUCGCAAUGAACAGAAUCAAUUGCUGCUAUCUUCGGACGCAGAGAGCACCUUUUGCUUCAACAGCUUCUACUUUGACAACAAAGCUUUGGAUUCUACUUGACUACACGACUGGGAUUCACUCUUGAAAAGGUACACAUUGUUUGCAUGGUAUUGCAUUGCAGCCAAUGAGUUCAAAGAGGUUGGCCAGACAGAUCUACACAAAGGAAUGGAAGAGGGCGCGGCGAGAGGUGUUGAAUGUGCGAGCACUGGUGCGUGCCCAGCUGGAUGCAGGAGAUGCAGCAAACAGGGCAGAGGAGUCUGCGCGAGAUGCAGCAAGCAGGGAAGAGCAGGCUGCGCGAGAUGCAGCAAGGACAGGCCAGGCUCUGCAAGAAGCAGAGCAACAACAUAAUGGACCUCAACACAUGCCAGAGAUACAACCGGCGGAGAUUGAAGAACAGCCUGAGUUCAUGGCAGAGCCAACAAGUUCGGUCAGCAGCUCGGAGCAGGACAGCAGCAGUCCCUCAACCCAUGUCAGUCCAGCACCCAGCUGUCGGACAUUGGAAGAGUCGUACAUUGAGGAACAAACAUCAUCCGACCCAGCUGAGGGUACAUUUGCUUUGAAUUUUAUAUUUACUAUCUGAUUACAAGUUCUUAACCAAGAAAGCAAACACUAACAAUUUUCUUUUCAAGAACUUCAGGAAUGACCCAUGGCGAAGAGGAGGGGGCUUCAGGCAUGGCUGCCGUAAUAAGGCUCCUGGAGGAACGAAAGAGGCUCCUAUUGAGGACGACAGAUGACA